GUCUAGGACCCCCUGGGUGGUCGCGCAAAUCCCAGACGAGCCCCCAAAUGAAAGACCCCCGAAGGGAGACCCUCACUCAAAUCUCGAGAAUAGCUUGCACCCAGUGAGGCACCGAGACCA
rnacentral:pre_miRNA from 11 species